UACGUAGGUGACAAGCGUUGUCCGGAUUUACUGGGCGUAAAGAGCGCGCGGGCGGUCGUUCAAGUCGAGUGUGAAAGCCCCCGGCUCAACUGGGGAGGGUCAUUCGAUACUGAUCGACUCGAAGGCAGGAGAGGGAAGUGGAAUUCCCGGUGUAGUGGUGAAAUGCGUAGAUAUCGGGAGGAACACCAGUGGCGAAGGCGACUUCCUGGCCUGUUCUUGACGCUGAGGCGCGAAAGCUAGGGGAGCAAACGGG
rnacentral:rRNA from 1 species